rnacentral:rRNA from 1 species
GACGUAGGGCGCGAGCGUUGUCCGGAUUGAUUGGGCGUAAAGAGCUCGUAGGCGGCUCGUUGCGUCGGCUGUGAAAACCCGCAGCUCAACUGUGGGCCUGCAGCUGAUACGGGCGGGCUGGAGUUCGGUAGGGGAGACUGGAAUUCCUGGUGUAGCGGUGAAAUGCGCAGAUAUCAGGAGGAACACCGGUGGCGAAGGCGGGUCUCUGGGCCGAUACUGACGCUGAGGAGCGAAGGCGUGGGGAGCGAACAGG